GGGCCCGCACAAGCGGUGGAGUAUGUGGUUUAAUUCGAUGCAACGCGAAGAACCUUACCAGGGUUUGACAUCCUGCGAAUUUCUGGGAAACCGGAAAGUGCCUUCGGGAGCGCAGUGACAGGUGGUGCAUGGCUGUCGUCAGCUCGUGUCGUGAGAUGUUGGGUUAAGUCCCGCAACGAGCGCAACCCACGUCUUUAGUUGCCAGCAUUUAGUUGGGCACUCUAGAGAGACUGCCGGUGAUAAACCGGAGGAAGGUGUGGAUGACGUCAAGUCCUCAUGGCCCUUACGGGUUGGGCUACACACGUGCUACAAUGGCAUCUACAGUGGGUUAAUCCCCAAAAGAUGUCU
rnacentral:rRNA from 1 species